AUUGAACGCUGGCGGCAUGCCUUACACAUGCAAGUCGAACGGCAGCACGGGGGCAACCCUGGUGGCGAGUGGCGAACGGGUGAGUAAUACAUCGGAACGUGCCCAAUAGUGGGGGAUAGCUCGGCGAAAGCCGGAUUAAUACCGCAUAAGACCUGAGGGUGAAAGCGGGGGAUCGCAAGACCUCGCGCUAAUGGAGCGGCCGAUGUCAGAUUAGGUAGUUGGUGGGGUAAAGGCCUACCAAGCCGACGAUCUGUAGCUGGUCUGAGAGGACGACCAGCCACACUGGGACUGAGACACGGCCCAGACUCCUACGGGAGGCAGCAGUGGGGAAUUUUGGACAAUGGGCGAAAGCCUGAUCCAGCCAUGCCGCGUGCGGGAAGAAGGCCUUCGGGUUGUAAACCGCUUUUGUCAGGGAAGAAAUGUUCCGGGCUAAUACCUCGGGAAGAUGACGGUACCUGAAGAAUAAGCACCGGCUAACUACGUGCCAGCCGCCGCCGUAAAAC
rnacentral:rRNA from 1 species